rnacentral:tRNA from 1 species
UAGCUCAUUUGGUAGAGCAUGGCGCUUGUAAACGCCAGGGUUGUGGGUUCGAUUCCCAC